UUACCCUGUUGUGCCCAAUCCUGGUGCUCCUGGGCCAUGCCCCUCCUCUUCAUGAACCCAGGCCCGCCCCGGCUGUGGUCCAGCCACACCCCUCCCAUGACCCAGCCCCAGGACGCCCACAGCUGAGGCACCUGGCCACACCCCUUCUCCUGUAGCCAGGCUCUGCCCCCUCCAACGACCUUACAGGCUGCACACCCUGCUCUCUGGAUCCUUCCGCCUGCUGACCAGAGCAUGGCAGUCGGCCAUGCUUUAUGUCCAGCAGAGAGAGCUGCUUUGUCUCUGUCCUCAGCAGCUCAUGCUAGGCCUCACCUUCCGGCAAGCCCGCUCCAGCCUCACCAACCCCAGGGCUCAACUUCCCGCUAAACCCUUGCCCCAGCCUCACCAGUCCCAGGCCUCACCUUCCUGCCAAGCCUGCCCUAGGCGUCCCUCAUGCUGAGCAGCGGGAGUGUGAGGUGCAGCGGGUAAGGAGGGGUCUGCAUGUGUGGUUAGGGCCUGCACGGACAGGGAGGCUGGAGGGAAAGGGCAGCCCGCCACCAGGAGCCAGGGUUAGGUUAGGGUGAGCUGCAGGGUUAGCACUGGUGUUAGGUGUUGGUUAGGUUCGGG
rnacentral:lncRNA from 1 species